AAGACGGGGGGGGGGGAAAAAAAAAAAAAAAGACUUUUCUCGAUUCCAUGGAUGGUGGUGCAUGGUCGCACUUAGUUGGUGCAGUGAUUUGUCAGGGUUUAUUCCGGUAACGAACGAGACCUCGGCCUUGUAAAUAGCUAUGCUGCUUACAGGGACAUUGGCGGCUACGCCAAGGAAGCUCGAGGCAAUUGCAGAUCUGGAAUGCCCUUAGAUGUCCUGGGUCGCACGCGUGCUACAAUGACGCCACGAACGAGCUUGCGUGAUGAAAGUUACGCAUAAUCAGCAGUCGGCGUCUUAAGGGAUAGUCUCUUGUAACUGUGGCCUUCCAACUAGGAAUGUCUCGUAAGCACAAGUCAACAUCUUGUGUUGAUUACUCCCUGCUUUUUGUCACACCGCCCGUCGCUCCUCCGAUGGUGUUCCCCCUGAAUUGAUGGACGUAAGGAAGUCAAAUAAACCCUGAGCCACAAGAGAAGGGAGCAGCGGAGGCCCUUGGGAAACUA
rnacentral:rRNA from 1 species